rnacentral:tRNA from 1 species
GCCGGGAUGGUGGAACUGGAAUACACGUAGCUCUCAAAAAGCUAUGGGCCUUAAGCCCAUGCGGGUUCGACUCCCGCUCCCGGCACCA